rnacentral:rRNA from 1 species
GUGUCAGCCGCCGCGGUAAUACGUAGGGGGCAAGCGUUGUCCGGAUUUACUGGGCGUAAAGAGCGUGUAGGCGGCCUCACAGGUCCGUUGUGAAAACUGAAGGCUCAACCUUCAGAGGUCGACGGAAACCGUGUGGCUAGAGUCCGGAAGAGGAGAGUGGAAUUCCUGGUGUAGCGGUGAAAUGCGCAGAUAUCAGGAAGAACACCAAUGGCGAAGGCAGCUCUCUGGGACGGUACUGACGCUGAGACGCGAAAGCGUGGGGAGCGAACAGGAUUAGAAACCCUAGUAGUCC